CCUACGGGAGGCAGCAGUGGGGAAUCUUUGGCAAUGGGCGCAAGCCUGACCCAGCAACGCCGCGUGAAGGAAGAAGGCUUUCGGGUUGUAAACUUCUUUUGUCAGGGAAGAGUAGAAGACGGUACCUGACGAAUAAGCCACGGCUAACUACGUGCCAGCAGCCGCGGUAAUACGUAGGUGGCAAGCGUUGUCCGGAUUUACUGGGUGUAAAGGGCGUGUAGCCGGGUAGGCAAGUCAGAUGUGAAAUCCUGCGGCUUAACCGCAGAACUGCAUUUGAAACUGUUGAUCUUGAGUACUGGAGAGGCAGAUGGAAUUCCUGGUGUAGCAGUGAAAUGCGUAGAUAUUAGGAGGAACACCAGUGGCGAAGGCGGUCUGCUGGACAGCAACUGACGGUGAGGCGCGAAGGCGUGGGGAGCAAACAGGAUUAGAUACCCGAGUAGUC
rnacentral:rRNA from 1 species